rnacentral:pre_miRNA from 1 species
AUUCUACUCCCUCCAUUCCACAAUACAUGCCUUCUAUUUGUCAAAAUAUAGACGUAUCUAGACAUGUUUUAGUAUAUAGGUACAUCCAUUUUUGGACAAAUGGAAGUCAAGUAUUUUGGAAUGGAGAGAGUACACA